UUUAAUUUCUUCAGGGAAUUACUUGGGCUGCAGAUGGUUCACAAAUGUGCCUGCAAUACCUCCAUGUGCUGCUGGAGUACACCUCAGCUCUCUGCUUGUCUCCCUGGAUUCUCACCAUCCUGCACCUACAGGAGUAGCCAAACAUUGCACAUUGCUGCAAGCCUGUCCAAACCAGGGGGGGCCACCCCGCUCUGAUGGGGUGUGAAAGCAUCCAUUGCUUGAAAAUCUCAAGCUGAAGCCCUAGAUUUUGAAGGUUAAAUUUUAGAGGGUGUGCAUCCUUCAUUCCUAAAUCUUCUUUCCUGCCCUGGAGGACACAGUGGAUGGAAG
rnacentral:lncRNA from 12 species